CCUACGGGUGGCAGCAGUCGAGAAUCAUUCACAAUGGGGGAAACCCUGAUGGUGCGACGCCGCGUGGGGGAAUGAAGGUCUUCGGAUUGUAAACCCCUGUCAUGUGGGAGCAAAUUAAAAAGAUAGUACCACAACAGGAAGAGACGGCUAACUCUGUGCCAGCAGCCGCGGGAAUACAGAGGUCUCAAGCGUUGUUCGGAAUCACUGGGCGUAAAGCGUGCGUAGGCUGUUUCGUAAGUCGUGUGUGAAAGGCGCGGGCUCAACCCGCGGACGGCACAUGAUACUGCGAGACUAGAGUAAUGGAGGGGGAACCGGAAUUCUCGGUGUAGCAGUGAAAUGCGUAGAUAUCGAGAGGAACACUCGUGGCGAAGGCGGGUUCCUGGACAUUAACUGACGCUGAGGCACGAAGGCCAGGGGAGCGAAAGGGAUUAGAUACCCGAGUAGUC
rnacentral:rRNA from 1 species